GACGAACGCUGGCGGCGUGCUUAACACAUGCAAGUCGAACGGAAAGGCCUGCUUUCCCUUGUGGAUUGCGGGUACUCGAGUGGCGAACGGGUGAGUAACACGUGAGUGAUCUGCCCCCAACUUGGGUAUAAGCCUGGGAAACUGGGUCUAAUUCCCGAUAGGACUGCAGGGUGGUGCCUGUGGUGGAAAACGAUUUUCUAGUGGUUGGGGAUGAACUCGCGGCCUAUCAGCUUGUUGGUGGGGUAAUGGCCUACCAAGGCGGCGACGGGUAGCCGGCCUGAGAGGGUGGACGGCCACAUUGGGACUGAGAUACGGCCCAGACUCCUACGGGAGGCAGCAGUGGGGAAUAUUGCACAAUGGGCGGAAGCCUGAUGCAGCGACGCCGCGUGGGGGAUGACGGCCUUCGGGUUGUAAACUCCUUUCGACCGCGAGGAAGCCACCUGGUUGGAAGGGUGGUGACGGUAGUGGUAGAAGAAGCACCGGCUAACUACGUG
rnacentral:rRNA from 1 species